GAACGAACGCUGGCGGCGCGCCUAAUACAUGCAAGUCGAGCGAGAAGACGUAGCAAUACGUUUGUAAAGCGGCGAACGGGUGAGGAAUACAUGGGUAACCUACCCUCGAGUCGGGGAAGUAACUAGCCGAAAGGUUAGCUAAUACCGCGUACGCUUCUUGGACUUCGGUUCAGGGAGGAAAGCGAUGCCGAGGGUAUCGCGCUCUUGGAUGGGGCUCAUGUCCUAUCAGCUUGUUGGUGAGGUAACGGCU
rnacentral:rRNA from 1 species